rnacentral:rRNA from 1 species
GACGAACGCUGGCGGCGUGCUUAACACAUGCAAGUCGAACGGAAAGGCCCUGCUUUUGUGGGGUGCUCGAGUGGCGAACGGGUGAGUAACACGUGAGUAACCUGCCCUUGACUUUGGGAUAACUUCAGGAAACUGGGGCUAAUACCGGAUAGGAGCUCCUGCUGCAUGGUGGGGGUUGGAAAGUUUCGGCGGUUGGGGAUGGACUCGCGGCUUAUCAGCUUGUUGGUGGGGUAGUGGCUUACCAAGGCUUUGACGGGUAGCCGGCCUGAGAGGGUGACCGGCCACAUUGGGACUGAGACACGGCCCAGACUCCUACGGGAGGCAGGAGUGGGGAAUAUUGCACAAUGGGCGGAAGCCUGAUGCAGCAACGCCGCGUGCGGGAUGACGGCCUUCGGGGUGUAAACCGCUUUCGCCUGUGACGAAGCGUGAGUGACGGUAAUUGGUAAAGAAGCACCGGCUAACUACGUG